CAUGUGAAUGUUAUGUUAUGUUUGCAUUUCAUUUUCGGAGGACUUCCUCUUCCUUCUCCCUAUCCCCAGUAAAUUAAUCAAAAUGAGUCGUUCAUCCAGAAUAAUUUUAAAAGAGAGGAAGAAUAAUAUUUCAUGCCAGGAAAGCUUGGUUAAAAUAAUGAAAAAUCACUCUCAGCUUAGAAAUUAUUUAUUUAUAGGACAAAUCUUAUAUUAACAUUUUUUUUAAAAAAAAACAACGUAUAAACAACAGCUGAAUCAACAACAAACCCCCUCCUGAUUUACACUUAUUAAAUAUUUGAUUGUCAUGUUAAUACUUCAUAUUCUGCCUUUUAUUUGCAUUUUAAUCUAUGGAAUAUUUACAGUAUUUUUGUCCCCCCCCCGUGAUUGAUUACAGAUGGGGGGGGAGAGCAUAACGACCCUCAAGCUAGUUUUUCCUCUCCCUCCCCCUUUCGCUGUUUACGAAGCUUUUUUCAACAAUGGUAAUGCGACCAGGACAAAUAAAUUAUGUCCUUUCUAGACGUCAGAGAAACACUGUUCUAUUUCCUCCCCAAUACUUAUUUUUAUUCUCCUCAAUCUCCAGCAUGGUUUUAGGUUUAAGAUGAAAAGUUCCAGAAUCACUAAAAAUGCUCUCGGUCGCCUCAAGUGUGUUGAGAAGAGGUCGGACAGUCUCCUGUUGCCAGACAAACAACGGAAGACAAAAGAUACAGCCACGAGUCGUUUCUUCCCUUGCUUAAUUUCCUGGCUUUAUUUGCCAAUACAUUUUUGGUUCGGGUGGCUCCCAGGAUCCAGUUAUUCGGUGGGACCCAGUCCGGUCUCUAAAAUUUGGGCAGUGGUGACCCUUUCUGUAUAGAAAAUAGAUGUCUGCGGAGGAGCGGUCGCCCACUUCUGUCCUAAACAAUUAUUAAACGUGUCUGGUUUUU